AGGUGCGAUCAUACCAGCACUAAUGAACAGGAUCCCAUCAGAACUCCGCAGUGAAGCGUGCUUGGGCGAGAGUAGUACUAGGAUGGGUGAGGGAAGUCCUCUUGUUGCACCUC
rnacentral:rRNA from 2 species